rnacentral:hammerhead_ribozyme from 1 species
AUUGAGCUGACGAGUCUAAAAUAGAAGGAAACGCGCGUCAAACUGGAU